GGUCCCAUAGUUCUAUGGAUAGAAUAUAAGUUUCCUAAACUUUUGAUACAGGUUCGAUUCCUGUCGGACUA
rnacentral:tRNA from 1 species